CCCUUAGAUGUUCUGGGCCGCACACGCGCUACACUGAAGGAGGCAGCGUGUACUCCUGGAUCGAAAGAUUUGGGUAACCCGCGAAUCUCCUUCGUGCUAGGGAUUGAGGUUUGCAAUUAUCCUUCAUGAACGAGGAAUUCCCAGUAAGUGCAAGUCAUAAGCUUGCGCUGACUACGUCCCUGCCCUUUGUACACACCGCCCGUCGCACCUACCGAUUGAAUGGUCCGGUGAAAUCUCCGGACUGGCGUGAGUCGGAGCAAUCUGACAAACACCGGAAAGUUGAUUAAACCUUACCAUUUAGAGGAAGGUGAAGUCGUAACA
rnacentral:rRNA from 1 species